rnacentral:rRNA from 1 species
GAUGAACGCUGGCGGCGUGCCUAACACAUGCAAGUCGAACGAAGCACUUUAGCUUGAUUCUUCGGAUGAAGGCUAUUGUGACUGAGUGGCGGACGGGUGAGUAACGCGUGGGUAACCUGCCUUAUACAGGGGGAUAACAGUUAGAAAUGACUGCUAAUACCGCAUAAGACCACGGAGUCGCAUGACUCAGUGGGAAAAACUCUGGUGGUAUGAGAUGGACCCGCGUCUGAUUAGGUAGUUGGUGGGGUAACGGCCUACCAAGCCGACGAUCAGUAGCCGACCUGAGAGGGUGACCGGCCACAUUGGGACUGAGACACGGCCCAAACUCCUACGGGAGGCAGCAGUGGGGAAUAUUGCACAAUGGGGGAAACCCUGAUGCAGCGACGCCGCGUGAGCGAAGAAGUAUUUCGGUAUGUAAAGCUCUAUCAGCAGGGAAGAAAAUGACGGUACCUGACUAAGAAGCACCGGCUAAAUACGUGCCAGCCGCCGCCGUAA